GGAGAUUUAGUUCAGCGGCAUAAGCGCCUGCCUUGCAAGCAGGUGGUCGUGAGUUCAAUCCCCA
rnacentral:tRNA from 1 species